GGGCAAACAGGAGAAAUGACAGGGUACCAAAGACUGCCCUGUCAGCUGAAGGGCACCCUGGAUGCGUGUCUCUGAGCCCUCACACUCCUGUAACCUGUGAACGGUGGGCAAGCAGAAAAGGUGAUGGGUCAUGCAUCUUCCUGACGCACCGUGAAGCAGGAAGAAAUGGAACAGUAGCUCUGUGUUACAUGUGAGGAGCGAGAAGCACCAACAUGGUUGCUGUCCUGGAACUCACAAAGCAGGCUGUCUUGGCUUGCCAGGGAAGCCCCAGGAAUUUGCCUGUCUCCAUCUUCAUCUCCCCAGUACUGGAGUUAUAAGUGUGUGCCAACGCAACUGGCCUUUUCUCANUGGUUCUGGGGAUGGACUCAGAUCCUCAAGCACUUGACUGACUGAGCUUAUCUCUUCAGCCCCNUUCUUCUAUAAUUCUUAAAUCAUUAUAAGUAAAACGUUAUU
rnacentral:lncRNA from 1 species